GACGAACCGUGCGAACGUUAUUCGGAAUCACUGGGCUUAAAGCGCGUGUAGGCGGGCCGCCGCGUCGGUCGCUGAAAGCCCCCGGCUCAACCGGGGAACGGGCACCGAUACGGGCGGCCUGGAGGGGAGUAGGGGGACCUGGAACUUCCGGUGGAGCGGUGAAAUGCGUUGAGAUCGGAAGGAACGCCCGUGGCGAAAGCGGCACUCUGGGCCGGUACUGACGCUGAGGAGCGAAAGCGUGGGGAGCAAACAGG
rnacentral:rRNA from 1 species